rnacentral:piRNA from 1 species
AGAUCAUUUUAAGGGAGCUAAGGA